CAUAUACUAUUUCUUUUUAAUUUGUUAUUGAGUUAGGAGGAUUUUAAAUAAUGAAGAAAUUGUGGUAUCAGCUAUUCAUCCUGUGCUGCUUUCUAUGUCAGAGCUGGGCAGCGGUGGUCAAGCAAGAAAAGAAACUGGUAAUAGUGAAUGUGGGAGAUUCAGCUGAAAUGCCAUGUUAUCAAAGCGAUUCCACCUAUUUCUACAUGGCCUGGUAUCAGCAAAAGCCUGGUGGAGGGUUAAAGAUGGUGGUCUCAUCAACUGGAACUAAUGAUUUUAAAAAGGAAAAUGAUUAUGAGACGGAAUGGGACCUCAAAAGGAAUGACACUCACAAUUCUCAGCUAAUUCUGAAAUCUGCAACUAAGGAGGAUCAGGCUGUGUAUUUCUGUGCAGCUAGUCAACACAGAAGCUGAAACCAAUACUGCACCUGGCACUAAAUGUCAACCGUACACAAGCCUGUUCACAUGUUAAUCCUGCCAUCAUUCCCAGUACAAAAUACUGACUUCAUCCUGACCUGAUAAUCAUUUUGCCAACAAAUUAGAUUUUUACGGGGUCAGGCCAAUAAAAUACCAACCAAACUCUAUACUUUAAUAAUCUUAAGGCCGGGUUCACAUAUGUGUGAUUGCGGUUUACAGCCUGGGUUCCGAUGCGUUUCUGCUCACUGGUUUAGGUGCAAAUCUGAACUAAACCCAAAAACUCACUGGACCUGUUUGGAAACUGCACUGUGGCCGCCCCAGACUUGUGUAAACACGCUCCAUUAAGAGCCGGUCACAUUCACAUGUCAUGCAAAUUGGAUGCG